UAACUGAAUUGUUUUCAAACCGAAAUAUGAUGAAAGAGUUCAUUAUACUUGAGUCCCAGACAAAUAACACAAUCAUGAUCUAUUUUGUCAAACCAACUUAAAGGUAGAGUCAGCGAUAUGACGUAGAUGCACAAAGUAAACAGCAUAGUGGGUACAUUUAUACAACAACUAAGAGCGUUGGAGCAUUAGGCUAAACUUCUCUGUUUUGGUCCCGUGGCUACCACUCUGUAAGAGAGUGAAGAGAACCCUUUCACAUGGGCAGAUACUGUGUGUGACUGUGUGAGAGAGAAGUCGGGCAUCUUGCUCAUCACAAUAUCUGUGGUGUUGCUCGUACAACAUAAUUUAUCUGACUCUUGUUGUGGUAAUUUCCUGUAUAACUACGUGAUGAGAGAGCAAACCACACACAAGUCAGAGUUAUAUUAUAAAGUCCAUCUUUAAGCAUAUAUGAGCUUCACCAUAGCCCUUUUUGACUCUCGGAUCAAUUCAGUGUUGAUAAAUGAAUUCUCUGAGAGUCCCUACAACACAAUUCUUAGUAUCAUUUAUAGCCAAGACACACCCCUCUCAACUCGCAUAACGAACCACAGAUCUUAGGAACAGUUCACAAAGAACCUUUUACUUGAAAGAGGAGUAUCCCAUAAUUCAUAGCAUUAGCUAUAAAUUACCGUUCAGUUUGGUCUCUUUAACUGAGGUUCUGAUCUUGUUCUUGGUACCACUUAGGACCAAAACAUUACCUCAUCCAAUGGCAUAUAUCAAUUGUCAAUUCUAGAUACUCCCAUCCCAAAUUACACCCCCUCUUCUCCCCACUCGUGGAGAAGCUCACUAAGGGAGUGAACCUCUAGGUCAUAUACUAUGAAAGAUAUGUUCAACAUCAGAAGAGGUGGUAUAAUGGUCCCAGACACUGCCAUACUCCUCCCCAGACAGGGAUAAGAAGGGAGUGACUGGAAUACAGACAUAAUGGAGCCCUUUACAUGGUUUAGGAAUAGUUACAGACACAUUCCCAUGAGAAGACAAUGUUCCAUUCUGUCCUCCUCCCCUUCUGAUAUUCUACAUAGCACCAGAUGCUUUAACAGAUACAUAUUUGGCGGCAGCGUAGCCUAGUGGUUAGAGCGUUGGACUAGAAACCGGAAGGUUGCGAGUUCAAACCCCCGAGCUGACAAGGUACAAAUCUGUCGUUCUGCCCCUGAACAGGCAGUUAACCCACUGUUCCCAGGCCGUCAUUGAAAAUAAGAAUUUGUUCUUAACUGACUUGCCUGGUUAAAUAAAGGUAAAAUAAAAUAUGAAGACGAGCCUGACCUCUCCCCUCUCCGGGCCCCAAGUGACUGAGCCCUAGCUGAGAAGGGAUUACUGCCACUGCCAACACUAUAGUCCAAAGGGAAACAUUCUAAUAAUGACAAGUAUCUCACAAGCAUAUUACGAAAAUAAAACAUCUUAUCUAUGUGACCCAACUAAUUCUGAUUCACCCUUUGCACAUGGCUAGAAACUGUGUGGGACUGUGUGAGAGAGAAGUCGGGCAUCUUGCUCAUCACAAUAUCUGUGGUGCUGCUCGUACAACAUCAUUUAUCUGACUCUACCUUUAAGCUCUCAUCCUAGGAUCUGCCAGAAAUCAGACCCCAACAUCUAGAAAACACUGAAAAACUGGACCAGAACCUCUACUGUUUCCUCAGUCAGGCAGGAGACCGCUUCCUGUUGUCGAUGACUGUUUGCCUCAACAACAACAAAAAUCUUCAAUCAAAUUAUUACUUGUAUUUGAACUGCAACAGUUCCAGACCAGAACGAUGUUGCUUCCUGCUUCCACAAACAUUCAUUAAUGUGACACUAAUGUCAGAUUAUGGUCUGCUAAUGAGUGUACAUUCUGAGACUGUUGCUCACUUAUAUUCAUUUUUAUUACAAUUCUAUUUAAUAAUUAUUAAUUCAUUAUUACAUGAGAUUGUCCAUUUUAAAUAACUACUACUUUUGACUUCAGGGAUUCCUCAGAGCUGUAAGACUUGUGACCAUGUUGAGGUAAGUCAUAAUGUCAAUUCUUACUUUUACAUACCUGCAGGAGUCAGGCACAGUCUCAUAGCCAGGUGUGUACUGACCAACCAUUCAUACUGGGAUAUAGACAGUCCUGUGUUCUGCUUUAGUAAUAUAAACACAGUCUCAAAGCCAGGUGUGUACUGACCAACCAUUCAUACUGGGAUAUAGACAGUCCUGUGUUCUGCUUUAGUAAUAUAAACACAGUCUCAUAGCCAGGUGUGUAGUGACCAACCAUUCAUACUGGUAUAUAGACAGUCCUGUGUUCUGCUUUAGUAAUAUAAACACAGUCUCAAAGCCAGGUGUGUACUGACCAACCAUUCAUACUGGGAUAUAGACAGUCCUGUGUUCUGCUUUAUUAAUAUAAACACAGUCUCAAAGCCAGGUGUGUAGUGACCAACCAUUCAUACUGGGAUAUAGACAGUCCUGUGUUCUGCUUUAGUAAUAUAAACACAGUCUCAAAGCCAGGUGUGUACUGACCAACCAUUCAUACUGGGAUAUAGACAGUCCUGUGUUCUGCUUUAGUAAUAUAAACACAGUCUCAAAGCCAGGUGUGUACUGACCAACCAUUCAUACUGGGAUAUAGACAGUCCUGUGUUCUGCUUUAGUAAUAUAAACACAGUCUCAAAGCCAG